GAUGAACGCUAGCUACAGGCUUAACACAUGCAAGUCGAGGGGAAACGACAUCGUAAGCUUGCUUUUGAUGGGCGUCGACCGGCGCACGGGUGAGUAACGCGUAUCCAAGUUGCCCAUCACUUGGGAAUAACCUUGUGAAUGUAAGACUAAUACCCAAUGACAUCCCACGAAGACAUCUGAAUGGGAUCAAAGAUUUAUCGGUGAUGGAUGGGGAUGCGUCUGAUUAGCUUGUUGGCGGGGUAACGGCCCACCAAGGCAACGAUCAGUAGGGGUUCUGAGAGCAAGGCCCACCGCAUUGGAACUACGACACAGACCAAAAUGGUACGCGAGGCAGGGGUAAGUAGUACUAGGGGAUGAGCCAGAACCUGGACCAGCCAAGUAGGGUACAAGGUGCCGGGGGUAUGAGUUGUAAUCUGCUUUUAAAAGAGAAUACUGUGGGUCUCGCGAGACUUUUUGCAGGUACCUGAUGAAUAAGGACCGGCUAAUUCCGUG
rnacentral:rRNA from 1 species